UCUUCGGAGAGUUUGAUCCUGGCUCAGGAUGAACGCUGGCGGCGUGCCUAAUACAUGCAAGUCGAGCGAACUGAUUAGAAGCUUGCUUCUAUGACGUUAG
rnacentral:rRNA from 4 species